GUAACCGUAAACUUGGCCUUACCUAUAGCGCUUGCGUCAUUGGGAGUAGUCUUGAUUGUGAUCAACAAACAGUGUGUACUUGAAAUAGAUUGUUGUUAGUAUAUUGAAUUUAUGUGAAACAUUGACUGCUAUAAGUUUGACAAACACUAAAAUAAAACUUCAUUCUAUAAUAUAUCAGAAAAAAUAUGGCAUAUGUAAUCAGAGCAGUGAAAAGUGCUACAGAGAAAUACCCAAUUCUACGUGGAAUGGUUACAUAUUCAGUUCUGUGGCCAGCCUCCAAUUUUGUACAACAGUCAAUGGAUAAAACACGAGAAAAGUAUGACCCAGUAGAGUCAUUGCGUUAUCUAUUCCUUGGAAGUUUUGUAACGGCACCGACAGUUUAUGUCUGGGUAAAAUUAGCAAGUAAAAUUAUAAAGGGAACUUCUUUAAAGCAUGCUCUAAUGAAGAUAUGUUGUAGGUGAUCUACAAACCACCUGUUUUAACAGCCACCUGUUUGAAUAACCUCCCCUACUAAGCAAGAUAUGUUAGAAUAAAUUU